rnacentral:rRNA from 1 species
CAAUCCAUGAGUAAAGUGGCGCACGGGUGAGUAACACGUGACUAACCUACCCUUGAGUGGGGGAUAACCUAGGGAAACCUGGGCUAAUACCGCAUAACACCUACGGGUCAAAGGAGCAAUUCGCUUUAGGAGGGGGUCGCGGCAGAUUAGUUAGUUGGCAGGGUAAUGGCCUACCAAGACGAUGAUCUGUAUCCGGCCUGAGAGGGCGCACGGACACACUGGAACUGAAACACGGUCUAG